UACGUAGGGGGCAAGCGUUGUCCGGAAUCAUUGGGCGUAAAGAGCGCGUAGGCGGCCCUGUAAGUCCGCUGUGAAAGUCAAGGGCUCAACCCUUGGAUGCCGGUGGAUACUGCAGGGCUAGAGUCCGGAAGAGGCGAGUGGAAUUCCUGGUGUAGCGGUGAAAUGCGCAGAUAUCAGGAGGAACACCGGUGGCGAAGGCGGUUCUCUGGGAAUGUCCUGACGCUGAGGAGCGAAAGUGUGGGGAGCGAACAGG
rnacentral:rRNA from 1 species